UUGCUCGGUGCACACGUCGGUUGGUCCCAGGUCAGGCCCCUCUAGAUCCCACUGGGAAGCUGCAGUACUGGAUGGAUGAGAACUACGCUUACAAUUGCGAGCACUGCAAGGUAUGCAUGUGUCCCUCUUCCACGGAUGUCAACAUGUCAUUUUUUAUAAGUUUUAGACACAGUCUGAUCUAUGUACUUUGUCCCUUUUUCCUUAGCAAACAAUGCAUUCUGCGAUAAUGAGCAUAUAGUGUCGAACUAUUAUUAUAACAUUGCAGUUUUGUUCGAGUCCAAGUUCCCGACCAUCAUCUCACAUAUAGUGUUCUCAAAUUAGAUCGAUAGUAAUGCAACUUUAUGCUAGAAUGUGCAACAAAACUAUCUUGUUUGUAUCUGUUAACUGUUGAAUCCCCAAGAUGAAUGCCCGUACAAGAAGCUUGUCAAUCCUAAAUUCUUUCUUAGUAAACAUAUUUGAUCACAUAGUUUUCUUUUUUUGUGAAUUCCGAACAUACUACUUGGAGGAAGGAGGGGGCGGCACAGAGAGGGUCCUCACACAGUCCAGUGAUCGACCACGACGACGCGGCCGUGCGGUGGGUACCCACGGACGCCGCUCUGCCGGGUCGGAGGAGGAGUCCAGAUCCGGCACCUCACCAAGGUCGGCGCUGCACGGUGAGUGCAACUGCCUUGAGAAACCCGGCCCGGCCAUCUUCUCCCCUGAGUUGCUGCCACGGCGAACCCUAUAGGCGCCUCUGCGCCCCAGUCAAGUCUCAUGUGUGCGUUGAUUUAGGAGGAGUGUACUGUUGAGAUCAAUGUCGGGAUCCGCAAGUACUACUAUUCAGAGUUCCCGUGGACUUUUCGUUCAGGCAAAUGAUAGCCUUCUUAAAAUUGCAUUUUGUUGUUGGUGUUUUAGGUUUCUAUUGCGUAGCAUCAGAUUAAUAUUGCCAAGCAUGAGCUGGCGGGGCAUAUGGAAGAUAUCCCAUGGGCCAGCAGCUGGAGCCUGGAAGCGGAUGUUAAUGCUCCAUAGCAGAGAGUUUAGGUUUACAGCAAGCAGCGACUACCAAAUUUUCCAUGGUUAGUGUUGAUUCCUAAUGAUCCGUGGUUUAUAACAUUGACGAUAACAUCUAGGCUAUCUCAAAUUUACCAUCAGAAUAGUGAUCUUUGUGCAUGAUUGGUUUAAAUUAAUUUUUUCAUCCCAGCUCUUCUGUUUACAGUAGGAUAUAAACGGAGAUUGUCAUGGAGAUGGUUGCCAUCAGUUCCAUUUUGUUGCACAUCACAAGCCUGCCAUUUUAGGUUGAUAUAUGUUUUCAAUAUCUUUACCUCUACUAUUUCAAGAAUGUGUGAUGUGUCACUAGCUUAUUCCAUUCUUGCAUUGUAGUACCUUGAGGUCUGACUCAUGCAUGCAGAUGGGGAGAUGCAUUCAUGUGCUUGCUGUUGCGUGCCAGUAGCUUCGUUCAGUUGCUUCAGUGGGAUAAAGUUACUCGAUGUGGAUUUUGUUCUGUAAACGUUCAACAAAUUUGCCAGCGAGUAGUUUGACACAUACGAGCAUGAGGUUCUUCUGGUGUACUUUUGCGGCUGUACUUUUGUUAAUUGAAACUGGAAUUACCCCAAUUGAUAACCAAAUUUUGUGCUCACUGCCGACAUGGGGUUGACGAUGACGUCCCAGAGCCCUUGCCUCUGCUUGAUGCUGCGUCGAGCAAGAUGAAGCCAUCAGAUACGUGUGGUGUGUAGAGUCCGUUCUAAUCAAUGGAAAGGAACUGGAGGAAGGGAAAUUGCCUACAGGUGAUACUGAUAACUUUAAAACCAUUACUAUGGUUACAAAAUGCGAGUUAUUUACAUUUCAACCUGAUCACAAGGCCAUUAGAGAUUGGACUAUUCCACUCGGUCCGAACUACAUUAGGUCAAUUGUACAUUUUAUUUCAAGUUAUGAAGAAUACGAGCUGAGAACAUAUAGGAGCUCUAUGUGGUUUAAAUAUUUUUAUACGAAGUUUGAUGUACUUCUCAUGAAUAUCUUCGUAAACAGAAAUAAUGGUAAACCAUGCACUGCUACAUUAUGUUUCACCAGAAUCACUCUUUAUAAUAUCUUGUUGCUUUCA